AACGAACGCUGGCGGCAGGCCUCAAACAUGCAAGUCUAGGGGGUGCAGCAAUGCAUCACCGGCGGACGGGUGCGUAACGCGUGGGAAUAUACCUAUUGGUUCGGAACAACUGCGGGAAACUGCAGCUAAUACCGAAUGUGCCCGAAAGGGGAAAGAUUUAUCGCCAAUGGAUUAGCCCGCGUAGGAUUAGCUAGUUGGUGGGUAAUGGCCCACCAAGGCUCCGAUCCUUAGCNGUUCUGAGAGGAAGAUCAGCCACACUGGGACUGAGACACGGCCCAGACUCCUACGGGAGGCAGCAGUUGGGAAUCUUGGACAAUGGGGAACCUGAUCCAGCCAUGCCGCGUGGAUGAAGAA
rnacentral:rRNA from 1 species